rnacentral:rRNA from 1 species
AGUGAACGCUGGCGGUAGGCCUAACACAUGCAAGUCGAACGGCAGCACAGUAAGAUCUUGCUCUUACUGGUGGCGAGUGGCGGACGGGUGAGGAAUACAUCGGCAUCUACUUUUUCGUGGGGGAUAACGUAGGGAAACUUACGCUAAUACCGCAUACGACCUACGGGUUAAAGCAGGGGAUCUUCGGACCUUGCGCGAUUGAAUGAGCCGAUGUCGGAUUAGCUAGUUGGCUGGGUAAAGGCCCACCAAGGCGACGAUCCGUAGCUGGUCUGAGAGGAUGAUCAGCCACACUGGAACUGAGACACGGUCCAGACUCCUACGGGAGGCAGCAGUGGGGAAUAUUGGACAAUGGGCGAAAGCCUGAUCCAGCCAUACCGCGUGGGUGAAGAAGGCCUUCGGGUUGUAAAGCCCUUUUGUUGGGAAAGAAAAGCAGCAGGUGAAUACCCCGAUGUUCCGACGGUACCCAAAGAAUAAGCACCGGCUAACUUCGUG